rnacentral:rRNA from 1 species
GACGAACGCUGGCGGCGUGCUUAACACAUGCAAGUCGAACGGAGGGGAGAACGGGUGAGUAACACGUGGGGGAUAGGCCCCGCAAUUAGGGAUAAGCUUGGGGAACUGGGUCCAACACCGGCAAGUGCAAGAUGAGCUCGCGGCCUAUCGGCUUGUUGGUGGGGUAAUGGCCUACCAAGGCGACGACGGGUAGCCGGCCUGGGAGUGUGUACGGCCCCCUUGGGACUGAGGUACGGCCCAGACUCCUACGGGAGGCAGCAGUGGUGACUAUUGCGCAAUGUGCGGAAUCCUGAUGCCGCGACGCCGCGUGGGGAAUGAAGGCCUUCGGGUUGUAAACUCCUUUCGACAGGGACGCGGUACCUAUAUAAGAAGCACCGGCUAACUACGUGCCAGCAGCCGCGGUAAUAC